rnacentral:lncRNA from 1 species
CUUGUAGAGCGGUCUUAAAUGCCUCUACAGAACCUGCAUGCACAACUUUAUCUGGUAAUUGGUUCCAGUGAAUAGUUGUUUCCACAAAGAAUGAAUGUUUUAUACUGUGGUUGUUGCUGUUUGGUACUUUUAGUCCUUUGGUGUUAUUGAUGACUUGUCGUUCGAUGAUAUUGUCAGUUUCACAAUUUGAAUACGUUUUGGCUUUUAUCGUUCGUUUAGGUCGUGCUGGUAUGACAAAAUUGUCGGCUGGCAGAGCCGGCACCAGUCCCUCAACCACCUUGUAAAUCAGAAUAAGACGGAGGCUGUGUCUUCUGUCUCUAUUUCAAGUUGUCGUCUCAUGUUUGUUAUGGAUCCUGUUUCUCGACUUCUGUAAUUUUUCUUGAUGAAUUGUAUGCCUCUGUUUUGGAUACGUUCUAAUU